UAUAAACAGCCUGCUUGAGCAUCAUAUUGUUAUGAUCUCCCAUACAUACAGAUUAAAUUGUUUUUCUCCUAUUAAUGUCUUGUGUUAAUUUUAUGAUUAGUCCAGCUGCAAGAACUCAAGAGGAGUAAGGGGAAAAUUUCUCCCUCCUCAUCAGUUUUUGAAAGAAAGCCAGUGGAAUCACUGCUUGGAAAACUUCUUUCCCCUGGGACUACUGAAGAGGAAGAGAUCCUGGGAUGUCUGAGAGAAGCUGGGAGAAGAAACGCCUUUUAUCAAAUACCUGAUUGCUUGUGCAAUGUAGUCCUAACUUUGGGAGCCCAUCUGCAUCAUUGCCUCCUAAAAUGAGUUCAACCCAGCUGACCUAUUCUCAGGACUAAGAAACUGGUUCGAUGAAAUAGUGGAGCAAUCUACCACCUCAAUUUCAACAUGUGAAACUUCCAAGGAAGUUCCAGAGGAGAGAACUAAUAGAGUUCAUGAAACCAAGCUCUUCCCUGAGAACUCUGUGUCCCUGAAGCCCAUUCGAGAGGAGCAGAUGACUUUUCUCUCUCACCACCAUUGUUACCACAGAGCCUGAAGUUCAGCUACCUGCAACAACAUGGAUGACGCUCACAAAUAAUGUGGAGUGAAAGAAGAUAGUCACAAUUCCAGGUCCAAAACUCAUCGAAUGGAUAAAAAAGAUGUGGUAUUUAUACACGAUGGACUACUACUCAGCCAUAAGAAAUGACGAAAUCCGGCCUUUGUGACAACAUGGAUGGACCUUGAGGGUAUUAUGCUGAGUGAAAUAAGUCAGAGGGAGAAAGUCAAAUACCAUAUGAUCUCACUCAUAAGUAGAAGAUAAAAACGACAAAAAAAACCCACAUAGCAUUGGAGAUUGGACUGGUGGUUACCAUUGGGGAAGUGGGGG
rnacentral:lncRNA from 1 species